ACCCGCCUCACCCCAACACCAGGCUCGCCUCUUCAGCUCAUAUAAGGUAAAAGGCAGAGGGCCCCUCUGUGGCCAAGGAGCAGCGGGCAAGGGGCUGAGGGGAGGGGGGCCCAGUGCCAGCCGUUUAAAAAUGCCCCGUGGCGGUAAGGGGUGCCAGAGGCCCGGUCAAGUUAGUUGAGAAGCAGUGACGCCCCCAACCGUCCCCUAAAUGGGCUGCCCCCCCUGUCCGGGCCACAAGGAGCCACACCUGGACCAGACCCCAGGAGAGCUUUUGCCUGAGCACAGGAAGUCAACCAGGACGAAAACAGCAACCUGCAGAUUCCCCGCUACGGGGAGCAGCAUCCUCUGUGCCCAAGCUCUGCUGUCCAGCCUCGGAAUUCCCAGAGAGUCAAGAAGCUGGAACGGCCCUGAAGAUCACCCCAGCGGGGGAAUCAGAGACCAGAGAGGUUCAGCAUAUUGCUCAAGGUUACACAGCAAACCAUGUGCAAAUGGGAAGUGGGCCCUUGGGUCCCCCGAUGCCCAGACCAGUGCUCUCUCCACUAACCACGCUGCCCUUUAGAGUAGUGGGCAUGUUAGCCAUCCACACGUGAGCCUGGGAUCUAUUUACCUUGACACCCCAAACGUCCACACGGUCUCUUUCCCUCUCUGGGAUGCAGUUUCUUCUAAAAACAGGGAGAUGGCGUGGACCAGAUGUUUCUCUAAGGUCUUGCACUCCAUCACUGGGGCUCCACCAGGACCCCAGGGCUUUCCAGUGUGGCCACCCCAGCCCUCUCUUCACAGACGAUGGAGCUACCCUCCUCCCACUCCCCCCAACCGGCCAGGACAUCCCACCAAGUCACAGCCCUCACCCAGACUGUCCCACCCUGGACCCCAGGGCUGGGCCUCAUCCAGAACUACAGGCUCCUGGCCCAACUCCCCCUCUGGGGAUCUGAAUUUUUCUUACCAUAAAAGGGCAAGCGUGCCUCUCUCCCCGUCCCUGCUGCCAGCCCCGCUGGGGGAAAAGCUGAGCUAUUUUUAGAAAACUCAAGGGUUUGCUCCUGGACUUGAGAUGGAGCCUGUGGGAGCCUGCAGCCCGGGGAGCCCCUUCCCCAUCUCCCUCGCCCGCCUUCUCUCCCUCUGCCCCUCUUCUCACCCCUCACCCCGUCUUCACUCGCUUUCUUCCUCUCCCUGCCUCUCUCCCUCUUGCCCUUCGGUCAAUGACUCCUCCCUCUUCCUCCCCGUCUCCUCUCUCUUCUCCCCCAUCUCAUACACAGCUCCCCUCCCCCCCCAUCCCCUCCUUCAGAUCCGGCUUUUGGAAGAUGGAGAAAGUAACACAUCUUCACCCCCAUCCCCUUCUUAAACACUAUUUACAACAUAAAUUCCAAACAUCCGCCAUCUGGUUCUAGGAAGGGCCAAAAGAUAUUUAGAAAAGGAAGUCAUGAUUAUUCCAUCUUCAAAGCCAAAGGAACUUAAAGGCCCCCUCUCUCCCGCCUCCCUCCCAGGGCCUCUUUGUUAAGAUCUAACAGAUUAGGAUCCCUCUGUGAGUAGAAAGAGCCAGUCCCAGCUGGGCCUCGGACUGCAUCACUUUGAGCGGGUUGCUUCUCCUCUCCGUACCUCGGUUUUCCUCAUCCGAGCAAUGGGCGCGAGACGAGGUUGCCUCCAGCACUAACGUUCUGAGACUUUGAGUCCUGCUGCAGAAAAGCCACCUGGCCCAGGUCCCUGUGGCCUGCUCUGGGCUGAGCAUAGGGUGGGCUAGCGGGGGAAGCGAGUCAGAGCCAGCGGGGGAGUUCCAGCCUCAACCUUCGGUGCCCCUUCCCUCUCGCUCCGUGGAGAUCCAUGCAGACCGUCCACCUCCCAGCACACUGACAACACUAACACCAAGGGGAUGGGCUGGGGUCAAGCCAUCCCCCCCAGUGGGAUACCAUGGAGUCCGGUCCCCUCCCCACCACAUCACAGUGAGGCCCAGAGAGGGGAAGGCUCUUUCCGCAAUCACACCGCGUGUCCACAGGUGACCUGGAUUCUAACCGGCUGCUCUUCCCAACCAGCACGCUCCAGAAGAAACCAGCAUUUGUAGUAUCCAGAGAGCGUCGCUCAGAGCCAGCAAACCGGGACCCUGGAGGCCCCACUUCUUUGCAAAGUGGACAGGGCAGAAGGGAGAACUAAUCCCUUUACUGCGGUUGGUUGGUUUUAAACAGACAGCACGGGGGCGCCUGGGUGGCGCAGUCGGUUAAGCGUCCGACUUCAGCCAGGUCACGAUCUCGCGGGCCGUGAGUUCGAGCCCUGCGUCGGGCUCUGGGCUGAUGGCUCGGAGCCUGGAGCCUGUUUCCGAUUCUGCGUCUCCCUCUCUCUCUGCCCCUCCCCCGUUCAUGCUCUGUCUCUCUCUGUCCCAAAAAUAAAUAAACGUUGAAAAAAAAUAAAAUAAAAUAAACAGACAGCACGCUAGGGAGAAGUACUAGAGGCAUAACGAAAAUGGAAAGCCUCCCUGCUUCUGGAGAUGUGCACCUUUGCCGGGGUCCGCACACCUCCGUUUACUCUGCAAAUGCUUCUUUGCCCACAGCCCCGUGUCCACCUCAGUGAACACAGGCCUGACGAAACGCCGUGAGACACUCACCCAGGCUGUCGCUCUAUAAAAAUGGCGCCGGGGAUAGUCGGGUCUCACGGGGCAGCCGUGAAAACGCGUGUUGGGCUGGCCGAAGCCCAUCCUGAGCCUGACGCUCACCGGCCGUGUGACCUUGAGGGAGCGCUAUGACCUCUGCGAGCCUCAGUUUCUCCGUCUGGAAAAUGGGAGUGAAAACGGCAAGGGCACUGGCCGGUGGGAGCCACUCUUGCAACGCUGACAUUGGACGAGCAAGCACCCCAGAGAGGGCCUCCUGAGGACCAGAGAGGAGGGCAGGCGGCAAAGGCCCUGAAAACAGAGCUCCUCCCCAGAGCUUCCCAAGAAGACAGAGGCUCCCCCGGGCUGGGCUUGGCGACAUUUCCUGAAGACAGUAGGGAGCAGUGAGGGGAAAUUGGCCCGUUUCUGGGAGCAACGUCGCAGAUUGCCAACAGCCGGCACCAGGUAAGAAUCCGCCCGCUAUGAGUCUAAGGCCACCUGCUCAAGUGUCUCCUUGGACACAGGGGAAAGGGAGCCACAGAGAGGGGAAGCACGUGGGAGAAGUGACCACACCGGUAGAACUCAGGUCUCCCAAAUGGCCCGCUGUCUCCUGACUGGGGACCAAGAGUAAGAAGGAGCCUCUGGUGGGGUAAGUGGAAUAGGAGGGCUGUCGACCUCCUUCUCAUCUGAAGGAGACCAGGGGUCAGGGCCAGCACUGUCUGCCUGCUGGACAAGUAAGAGAGACUCAAGGGAAGAGUUCUUGGGCAAGAGGACAUGCUUCCUGCAUCUCUGCCCCUCCUCCCAGCCUACCACCUCCUCCUCCAGGAAGUCCUCCCAGCUCCCCCCCUGGGGCGGGAACCUCUUUGUCCUCUAAGACCUUGGCAGUCCUUUCUUAGGCUGUCCCUGGUGCCACUUGGAUCUGUGCCCUAUUCACCUUGCCAGGGACAUUCUUCUUCCAUCUCAGCCUGACUGCACUCCUCCAGGGCAAGGACAUCAGUCCCACCUCCCCUCGGCACAUAGAAGUCACCCUAGGCUUGCUGGAUGGGGAGGUGAAAUGGUGAGACCCUGUCUCAAACCCAAAGGAUUGGUAAAUUGGCCAGGGGAGGAGACAUUCGGCAUAGAGGUUAAGACGAGGGAGCCGGGGUUGGCUGUUCUGAGUUAGGAACCCAGCUCAGCUCCUAACUCCGUGGCCUUGGAAAAUUCCCUUCUCACAGAGCCUUGGGGAUACGAGGGGAUUAGCACAAUUAAAACAGCCAACAAAUGACUGUCCUUAUUACAGUCGGCGUCACUGUGAUUUUCCUAGCUACAAGGAACGGAAGUACGCAGCCUAUAGCCAGAGGAGAAGCAAACAGCUUCCCCCAAAGGCUGCUCAUGGAGCCCUGUCCCUGCAUCACUUUCUCCCACGGGAACAUGGGCCUGCCUCCCAUCUACUUCCUGUUUCCAUACCCAGGAGGGGGGCUCUCUCGGCCACAAUAUUCGGAGCCUAAUGGGAUGUGCAGAAACAGCCCACGCCUCCCCUGGUUCGAGCCAGGCUGUGCCCACAGAACCAUCUCCUCCCCGUCCCAGUCCCCCGCGUGGAGGUCACAACAUACCCCUGCCGGCCUCACCAGCUGUCCUGAAGGUCCAGCGUCACGGGGCGCAGCUCCCCGAGCUGCAGUCACGCAGACGCCCCCUUUCGUAUUUUUGCCACAUCUGCAAACCGGCACAAUAGUUUUACGUUGAACACGAGUCACUGGCAAUAGGUACGUACAAAUCGCUACCGUUCAUGAGAAACUCUAACACUGCUCGUGACGAGGAGACGAAGGCAAGAAAAAGCAGAGCGAGCCCCAGGCGGUGUGACUACCGUCCCCCUGGUACGUGGCUUGCAAGGGCCUGGGCCUGAGGCCUGAGACCCGAGGGGAGGACGCAGGGACGCCAAAGGUGGGCAGCUGAAGGCUUCAGAAAGAGUUGUGCAGCAAGGGACGCGGGAGGCUGGCUUUAUCAGCUUGGUUCCCGGGGCCCUGGAAAGUUCACUUUGUCGGGACAGCCCCCGGCCCCCAGCUUCUUACUGAAACCUUCAAGCUGUCAGGCCCGGCACGUUCUCUCGCAGGGCUGGUGGCAGAGUGGCAUGGACAGGCUGUGGGCGGCCCAGGACCCCGAAGGUGGGUUGUUGGAAUCAUUCCCCAGCUAAAUGCAGUUUGGGAAGAGUUCCUACAGGAGAAUUCCAUAUUAGAGAAAGGCAUUUCUUUGGCUGGGAAUACCUCAGGUUGGGGCUGUCCCUCUCAGGAGGCCGUGGGGACUGAGCUGCUCCAAGUGGCAGACCAGAGAGAGAGACUCUUUUGAUUUGGGCCAAAUUUCAGAUUUCUGAUAGAGGCACAGGAGAUACAUUUUUUUUUUCUUUUUUUUAAGGAAGUGUGUGGUUUUUUGCUCUCUGCUAAGGAGAGGAUACCCACUGCCUCCCCUCUUAUGCCUUCAGAUAUCUCUGAAAGUAUACGUCAUGCACCACAUGUCGCCACAUAUCAAGGCCACCACAGUAGACAUCCAGCAACGCAGGAAGGUCCUCUGGGGGUUCCCCGAGAACUUGGCGGGGCAGGAGGGACCGAGGGAGCUCUGCCUGCUCACUCAGAGGUUCCCACCCAAGCCCGCUCUCAACAGAAAAACAAUUUAUCUCCGUGGCCAUUCAUUCAUCCACCAAAUGGCAUUCCCUGGGGCCCAGUAUCACAUACAAAGACCGCAGCAAGGACACCCCUAAACCCACAAAUGUGGGUGCUCUCCCUGGGGAACUGGAUACUAGCCCAGUCGGGCCCAGAUGCCAUUUGCAGCCUGACCCCGGAAAGAAACAGAUUGAGGAAAACAAUUCAGCCAUUCAACCAAUGCUUAAUGAGCGUCUACACGGGGGAACCUACCUUCAGUGGUGAGCCCAGCCAGCCGGGUCCCUUCCCUCACAGGUGGGCCACACAGCCCACAAGUGGGGGAGGUCGGAAAAGAGAAUUGCACACCACGUGUGACACAGGAUUAGAAAGUGGACACAGCAUGUGUGAGGACCUUGACCAGGGCGUCCUGAUGUCUGAGGCGGUGGAGGAGGGCUUCCCAGAAAAAGCAGCCUUUUGAGUAGGCACGGAGCACUGGGAGAGGAGUCAGCAGGGGGCGUGAGGGGGAGCACCCCCUAAGAGUCCAGAGGUGGUGGGCACCGGAGAAGAGGAAGAGGUCCUCGUGAUCUUCGGUGAGGGUUUGGGAAUUCAGCCGGAAGGAGGGUGAGCGCUUUCAGGCUCGUAAGCGUGGAGGCGAUAGGAGCGUUCCAGAAGGAUGUCUGAGAAGGAUGGCUGGGGAGUCGGGAGGAGCCGGAGCAGGAAGUCCACACAAGUACCCUGAAGGUGCCGUCUGGCUCGAAUGAGCAGCGGGUAAAGGUGGGGAUGGGGCCACCGUAUCAGGUGAGCCCAGGCUGCUCUGCAAAGACAGAAGCGGCCUGCCCAGAGCAGGGCUGGUGGGAGAUGCGAGGGCUAACGGAGAAGGGGUUUCUCUUGGGGGUGAGGACGUGGUCUAAAAUUAAUUGCGACAGUGGUGGCACAACUUUGUGAACAUAUUAAAAACCAUUUCGUCGUACGUUUAAAUUGGGGGGGGGGCAUGUGGAUUACAUCUCGACAAAGCUGGUUUAAAAAAAAGAAAAGAAAAAGAGGGGCGCCUGGGUGGCUCAGUCAGUUGAGGGUCCGACUUCAGCUCAGGUCAUG